UCCUACGGGGCGCAGCAGUAGGGAAUUUUCGUCAAUGGGCGCAAGCCUGAACGAGCAAUGCCGCGUGAACGAGGAAGGUUUUCGGAUCGUAAAGUUCUGUUGAAGGGGAAAAAGAGCGGAGAGAGGAAAUGGUCUCCGAUUGAUAUUACCCUUCGAGGAAGUCACGGCUAACUACGUGCCAGCAGCCGCGGUAAUACGUAGGUGGCGAGCGUUAUCCGGAAUGAUUGGGCGUAAAGGGUGCGUAGGCGGCCUGCUAAGUCUGGAGUGAAAGGUACCGGCUCAACCGGUCCAGGCACUGGAAACUG
rnacentral:rRNA from 1 species